UCUCAGUGAUGUCAAUAACUGAUGACGAGUCUGAUAAUAUCCAUUCUAAACCGUGAUGUGAAUGAGGCAUUUGUCUGAGAGGA